AUUGAACGCUGGCGGCAUGCCUUACACAUGCAAGUCGAACGGUAACGCGGGGCAACCCUGGCGACGAGUGGCGAACGGGUGAGUAAUACAUCGGAACAUAUCCAGUAGCGGGGGAUAACCUAUCGAAAGAUUGGCUAAUACCGCAUACGAUCUACGGAUGACAGCGGGGGACCGCAAGGCCCAGCACUAUUGGAUUGGCCGAUGUCAGAUUAGCUAGUUGGUGGGGUAAAAGCCUACCAAGGCGACGAUCUGUAGCUGGUCUGAGAGGACGAUCAGCCACACUGGAACUGAGACACGGUCCAGACUCCUACGGGAGGCAGCAGUGGGGAAUUUUGGACAAUGGGCGCAAGCCUGAUCCAGCCAUGCCGCGUGAGUGAAGAAGGCCUUCGGGUUGUAAAGCUCUUUCGGUGAAGACGAAACGGUUAGUGUUAAUAACACUGACUAAUGACGGUACUCACAGAAGAAGCACCGGCUAACUACGUGCCAGCCGCCGCGGUAAAAC
rnacentral:rRNA from 1 species